AUCGAGCUGACGUAAAAGUGGCAGGAGAGUCGUGUGUUUACUAGCUCAGUGCUGUAGAGUUCUGCUGCUGCGGUAUGUCGCUAACUCCUGUUUCGGGCACUUCUUCGAGUAUGUCUACUGACCGUGUUGAAGACCGGGAAGUAGAUGUGUUCGAGAGGUUAAUGCGUUCAUCGCUGGAAGAUGUAUGUAUUAACAGAGACAUCCAUGGAUUUUGCGAGACAGAAGAGGAUAUUGUCCAUCUUUGAGCAACCUGCGCGUCCAUGGCUACGCAUACUCAGUUAGAAGAACUGCGUAUUAUCGCCAGCCCCCUUCAGGUGCUGCUAAACAUGAGACAGGAUUUUUCUACAGCCACACAAAAGGCAACAUACCAAUACAGUUUUUUGGCCCUGUUUUUUGUGUUGAAAGCUUAGUGAAAAGAGUGUACUCUUGGCAAAUUAUAUCAUAAAAAGGAGACUCCUGUUGCAGAUCAUCUGGUGGACCAUGUUAACCCAGAGAAGAAGAGAAAAGUUCUCAUGGACACACAAAAGAAAGGCUGCCCAGCAACACUGGACAUUAAGUGUGUCGGGUAUUACCCUAUUAUGCGAUAAAAUCGGCAACAGACAGUUCAAAAAAGAGAGUUACUGUGAAACUGAGACGAGACUUGGAGUCGACACAGGUACCGAAAAGUUACCUGCAAUAUUAUGUGGCUGCCUCCCAAGCAAGCCGCCAUAAUCAUGGCACUGAAUGUCUGAAAACGAUUGGACACAUACACCCUUUGCUUUCAAAAGAGAUCAGGGAUAUAGUUACAAAGGGGACGAACUCAGUUCGGAUAAUUAAGUUAGAACUGGAUAGAUUUGUGGAAAAAAAAUUCACACACACACACACACACACACACACACACACACACACACGCUUUUAUGAUCCUGAUAAUGUAAGACCACCAGCUUGUGGGAGACCACCAGCUUGUUGCGCGCGCGCACCCACGUGCCCACACUUUUAUGAUCCUGAUAAUGGAAGACCACCAGCUUGUGGGUUUGACGAUGUUAAAUCAUCCACACAUUCUCGAAGCCUCUUCAGAGUUCUAGAAAUUGCUUCUCUGUUUCUACAGUUGUAGGUCAGGUUUAUGGCCUGCCUUGCUAAUUCCAGUGCAUCUUGCUCCUCUGAUGAAGUUGAGCUUCUGGGAUUGUCACUGCCUUGGUUUACUGCCUCCUCACUGCUGGUAUCCUCUGAACUUUGUAAUACAGGGCUGGCAGGUUCAGACCAACUGCUGCUUGAGCCAAACCCAAAGGUCUCUGAAGCCAUUGCUUAUUAAAAUAAUCAAGUGCACUAGAAUUUCUAGUUAAUAAUUCAUGAGAUUGAAGGUUUUGUUUUGCAGUUAAAAAUUUUUCUUCAGAUGGUGACUCAGCAAUUCCUUCCCACAGGUUGAGAAUUUGCUCACUAUCACCCGGUAUGUCUAAAUUAUUGUUUUUGCUAAGCCACCGUUGCCAGGCUUGCUUUUGAUGAAAUAAAUGAAGAUAACCCAUGAAACUGGAUUCCAGUCUGGGUUCCAUGCCUUGAAAAUUUCUAGAGCCUCCUUAAUUGAUGCAGUGUUUUCUACUUGCAUGAAGAAUAUCCCAACUACUAAAUAGCAUACAUUAGCUUUCACUACCAAGAAAAAUAAUGGAAUGUCAUACUUCGUUGUCUUUUAUGUUGCAUCAAGCAAACAUACCCUACCAUACUUUUUCAAAAGUUCCCUUUGCCACUUGUGCUGGUAAUAAAAAAGCAAUGGCUGCACUUUUCCAUUGUCAUCUGUUAACGGUCUGAAAAAAAAUCUCUCAGCCUUCGAUUCCUUUUCCCACCCAUUAAUUUAAUUCCUUAAUGCAUCUUGGUCAAUAACAGUUUUCUUCAAAUUACACAGAGCCCGAUACAUAUGGCUAUAAAUUGUACUAUCUGUUGGAUAAAACAUUAUGUUCAUCCGAUCUGGUCUGUUCCAGCAACACUGAAGUGCACAAUCCCCGAAAGUGUUUACAAACAAACUUUAGUUAUGUUUUAUUUGCAGCAAGUGUGUUUCUGUAUUGCACCCUGUUCACUCACUGAUUUCCUUACAAGAAAUAAGCUCUGAGCGCAUGGGUGUAAGUUGUUUAAUUUGUGUGGUAAAACAAUAUUUGAGAAACUGUUUUUCAUUUAUAAAACAGUAGCAACUCAAAAAACUUAUGUACAUUGCUCAUAAUUUGUUGUGUAGUCAGAAUCCUCUUGUUGGAAUGAAAAAAUUCAAUUGUGUAAUUAUCAUUUCCUUUGGCAAUGAAUCAUAUGAGCUAAACAUGACAUUAGAGGGAAUAGCAAUUUUCAAAUCAUAUUUUUCUGUGCAUACCCCUCUGUGUGCAUUGUUCCUUUAACUUGCACACGAUCUGUUGUUCAAAAUGACUAGUUGUUAGUGUUUUUUAAAUGUUUAUACAAUUGUACAUGUCAAUGUAUUUUAUGUUUUGCAUUUAUGUAAGCACGCAUGGACUAUGUAUGUGAAUUGGACACAUGAAGAAAUGUCAUUGUGUAAUUAUCUUUUUUGAGUGAAAUCUAAACUCCAUGUAUUUCCUAUUACAGAUAAUAAAACAAUGUCGUAUUAAUAA